GUCAGCACCCUGCACUAAAGUGACAGGGCUUCAUGCCCCGGCAUUUUAAUGAUUCUGCAAGACUAAAGGUUACCCAUUAACCUGUCCAAGGAGUGCAUCCCUUGUAAAUGGGAACCUAUACCAGCGAUUAAGGCUAUUGGCUGUCAGGGACUCCUAUUUUACUGCAUGCCCACGAAUAAAUUCGGGGACUUGCGGUUAACGCGACCAGACCAGACUUAAGUCCUUAAAUGAGCUACGUUUAAAGAAAGUGCUAAAAGUCCUACCUACAAAUACCUGCCAGUUUAAGCUUCUAGAACCAGGCGAUUAAACAAGUUUACGGGAGUUAAGCUAGUGUCGUUUGGAUACGUCGGCUUUAAACGGUCUUCGAGGCAAACUUUACCUGAAAGAG
rnacentral:sRNA from 1 species